GACGGUUAUCGAGGAGAACGCAGCUAUCUGUAUUCCAAACAUAAGCCACUCGGAUCCAGCCACUGAUCCGCCAUUUUUUCGUGGAUUCGAGCCAAGAUUCGAUUCGAGAAGGAAACUUUGGUGUUGUGGAUAUUCGAUUUCCCAGUUAUGCCUAGGAUGUGGAAAAUUAUCGACCGAAUUUGCCAUGAGAAAUCGUCGAUGACGGAAUAUUUAUUCCACCGUGGUGGCGAAACACGUGAUUAUCGAAUAUUAAGAUUAAUGAUACCAUCGGAUGUAAUCAGCAAUACCUAAAUGCCCGUCCAGUAAACGUCAUAACUAGUUAAUACUCAGCCAUGAAUAUUUGAUUAAUGCGGUUGACAAUUAAGAAGAAAAAAGAGAAAGAAGUGUUAUGUAAAUUUGUUUUAAUCAGCAGAACACUCCAAGAAGAUUAAAGAACAACUAUAUAAGAGUAAAGGACAAAAUAGAAAAUUGAACGAAGAGAAGAAUUUAACGUCGUGUAUUUUCCAUUUAUACGUUUGUUCGAUGAAGUUGAAUUUAAACUGCACGACAGAUAUAUGAUGAAAAUACGAUUUGAGAUUGUUCCGUGUGUGUUCGAAAUGGAAUAAAUAAGAAACUAGAAUUUGUUUAAAGAAUCUCUUUGCAUAAAGAUUAUUUAUUCGAUUCGAUUAAGAAUACUAUUUGUCAUAUCAAAUUAUCUUUACAAAAUAUUUAUUUUAGAGAUAACAUAUUAAAAAAAAAAAGAAAUUGAAUUGACAACCAGCAUCUGUUUCUAUUCGCAAGAUAACUAGAACUCUAAUCGUGUUUUAUUUUUAUUUAAAAUUUUUUUAUUUACACGUGUGAAAAUAUGAAUUCAUAAAUAAAUUAUAAUAUGUAAAAUUGAAACAUAAAACGUUUCCUUCCUUAUUAAUUCCAAUGAAUCUUCGAAUAUAUUUCCUUAAAAAAUUAUACAUUUAUAACAAUUACAAUUUCAAAUAAAGAAAAAAAAAAGAUAUAUUAAUCUAGAUUAAUCUUUUAUGAAUUCUCAUUCUUAUUAAGAACGAUAAAAAGAAGAGUAUUAAGAAUGAUGUGCAAAGUAAAAUAAGAUGUUUAUCCAUGUAUAUGGAAGAUCAAAUAUGAUAAAUAAACCACAAAUGGUACAAUUAGAAGUUAAUUAUUAUUUUCCAGUCUGUGCAAUUUAUUUUUCAUUUACGAACUGAUGUAACAGAAUUUCCUCUCAAUUUUUUCUCAAAGUCAUAACGAUAAUAAGCCAUCGUUUCUUUUCCGGAAAGAACAAUUUAUCUUUCUUAAAUAAAUAAAUUGUACAAGAUCAAGCAGAACAUUCAAACGGAAUAAUGGGUUUAUUUUUUUUUCGAGAAUAAAGAAAAUUAAAAGAAAAUUCAUUUUAUUAAAAAACUCGAAGAUAAAACAGAGAAAAUAAGAAUUGUAAAAUAUGUUUAUCGUCGACAUGGCGAUUGGCUGAUUGUCUACAGAUAUCGCUGAUAUAACGCCGCAGAUUUGAUAUUUACAACGAUUCUUUAGAAAUUGAAUAUUGUUGGCCGAUAAACAGUUAUUGACCCUUAAUAUCCUGAUCAAUAUCCCAUACUAUUAUUGUGCCAAUAAAAUUGUGGUUGUCAAACUGUGAAAUUAUAUUUCGAUUCAUAUUAUUUUCAAUAAUAUUGUGAAACGUGAUUCGAAAAUUUCAUCGAAAAUUUGACCACUUUAUUGCUUCAACGAUACAACAAUUCAUCUGCAGUAUCAUCUACAUUCAUUACAUGUAUACACACAUUGUGUACACACAUUGCACACGUUUAUACGUUAUACUUCAUGAACUGGCAUAUUGAGGAUAGCCAAAAACCUUGUAUAUCAAUUCGUAUUUGCAGAUAACGUUUGUAAAGAUAAACAAGGCUUACUUAUAAUACCAUAGAUGUAAGAACAUUGAAGAAAAAAGGAUAAUUAAUUUAAUCACGAAACUAGAUUAGCUAACAAAACAUCUCAUAGCAAACAAAUUUAUAAUUUAUAACGAUUCAUCCCCAAUCUUCGUAAAUAUAAUUCAAUUCGAGCAUAAUUUAAUUGCAUAGAAGUUUCAUUAAUAUAAUUGCAAAUGUAACUAGGAAUAACACGAGGAUUGCGUGUGAUCGAGUCUCAUGUUCAGGAACUUUGGCGAAAUAAAUUUUCAACGGCGUUUGAAUUAGAAUUUCAGAUGAACAAUCACACAGGAAUAUGCAACGGAACAACGGGAAGAAAAGUUUUACUACACCAAGACCAACAAAUGUGACGUCCUUUCCGCGAAACGGCUGUACAUACCUUGCAGACAAGUGAAAUGUCAUACAUAGUGAAUCGCGUGCAAGAGGCAUUAUGUAAAUAUCGGCUCGAGAAGAAUGAUGCACUCGAUUCACUUUGCUUUCUCAAUCUUUUUAUCUAUUCCCUUUCGAUCGAGGAUUUCUUCACGAGGAACGUUGUAAUCUCGUCAAACAUUUGCGUAAACGUAUUUCGUCUCUAGAUUUUUCUCGAUAAUUCUCGAAAUUCUUGAUACAGAAUCAAUGAAUUGGUGAUGUAAGAUCUAACGAUAAAUUCAUAAUACAAUUUAAUUGCAAGAAUACAAUAUAUUUUUUUCAGUAGCGAUUAAGUGAUGAGACUGAGAAUAAAUAUUUGAACAUUAUUUUCUAUUGCUGACAAUUUGAGAACAAAUUUUUAUUCCCUCGUAUAUUUUCAUUUUCAUUUUUUUCUUUUUUUGAGAAAAUAAUAAAUUAUUUAUGUAUUCAAUUUAUGAAUAAUUCUGUGAAAUUAUUCAGUCGAAACAAAAUAUGGAAUUCUAUUUGAAUCACGAAGUUAGUUUAUAAAUUCGAAAAUCGUGAUACAUUUCAAAGAUUAUUAUCAUCUGCCUAACUUCGACAAGAAGAUAUAUUUUUCUCGAAUUAAUAUUUAUUUAUUCACAUCACAGUUCGAGAAAGUUUAUUGCAUGGAAAGAGAAACAGUAGUUUUUCCUUGAAUUUGCUUUUGCAACAAAGUUGCUAAGCUGUCUCAAUUCGCACAAAUACGAAUUUCCAAGCAUCCACUCUUUCUUAUUCCGAGUGAUAUAACGAGUCUACGUUCCAUUUCGAUAGAAUAGUUAUCGAUUUUUUGAAUCGAAUUCUUUCUUGUAGAAAGCGCGUCUCUGGAAAAAAAAAAGCACUGGUCGAAGUCUCAAAGCCAACAGUGAACGUUCAGAUUCAGAGAAGCGACAGGACAACGAAGUUUAAAUAGCUUGACGAAAUUCAAAAUUCAAAAUCCCCCCUCUGUCCAAACGUUCGAACUUUUCAAGUUGAAAAUGGAAAAGCUUUAAACUUCUUCAACUUAAACAUCUGAGAAAUCGCACGAGGCUCGAUGUAAGAACUUGGUGAAACUUUAAUCUGUAAAAAAAAAAGAAGAAAAAAAAAGAUGUGCUGCGAGGAAUAUAGCACAGAAAGUUCAAGUAUUAUAGAAUUAUCAGCAUAUUCACGAGAAUUUGAAAAAAGAAAUUAGAUUGGAAUAUAUGUUGGCGAAGAUAAUUUUUUUAAAUUUAAUUUUACAAUUAUAAUCUUUCAAAAAGAUUUAUCUUAUUUGAAUUAAAAUAAGAAAAUACAUCGAAUUUUCUAUUAAUUUAUAAUUAAGAAAAUUAUAACUUUUGGCUAGAUACAAUAAUAAUGGACCCAUGAGGAACGACAUUGUAACCUAUCAUUCUAAACGACCAAUCAUCCUGUCACGUUUUUACCCCAUGAGAAAUGCAUCGAGAUUUCGAGAAAAUCGCAGGAACAGAACAUUGGGUAGUUCUUUUAUUCGCAUAAAAUUUCUGGCAAAAACUAUAUAUUGUCACAAUGGGAUGCUUUUAACAAAUCGUCCGAAAAGUUGCAUUUUCGGAUUCGUGGCAUUAAUCUUCAACUACAAACUUGCGUGCACGAGGAAAAAUUAGGAAAAUUCUGAUUUCCUUGUGUGAAAUAAAUGCACCAUCGUUUUAAAUUCGUUGGAAACGGGUCAAGAUCGAGGUAGUAUGCAUGAAUCGAACAAUUAAACAACUGAGCAGCAGUGUUUGUUUGCAAAUAAUUCAGAAAUAGAAUUUAGAAUAGGAAUCUUUUCAAGAAAAAUUUUCACUGCAACAACGAAUCGUUUAAAUCUUCGUUGACAUAGAACAUUUGGAAAAAGUUAAGCAAAAACGGUGUGCAACACGAUUUGAACAAUGAAACAUCAAGCAAGGACGCGAGAUUUCCAUACAUUUUAAAUAAUUCCCACAUCUCGGCUUUUGCAGCAAGAUGAUUUUACAUUCAAAUCUUCAAGCCACACGCAAAUCACGAAAAAAUAUUUUACCGAGAUUCCAAGUUGGAGCUUCGUCCAAUUUCUAGCUCACGUCUCCUUGUUUUCCUGGACGACAUUAAAAAAAUAUUUCGUCGUUGCACGACGAAAGACGGGGACAAUUUGUUUGGAUCUACUCCCACGGUGUUCUGAAUCAAGAUAUUCCACGAACCUCGUUCCACUUUUUCCCUCUUCUUUUCCUUGAAAUCGGCCAUUCUUUCUUGGUACCUUUUGUUUCAUAUCUUAGAAAUCUAGUGCAUUUUUAGAGUAACA